ACUAUCGAUUUCAAGUCGAUGGAAGUUUGAGGCAAUAACAGGUCUGUGAUGCCCUUAGACGUUCUGGGCCGCACGCGCGCUACACUGACGGAGCCAGCGAGUUCUAACCUUGGCCGAGAGGUCUGGGUAAUCUUGUGAAACUCCGUCGUGCUGGGGAUAGAGCAUUGUAAUUAUUGCUCUUCAACGAGGAAUUCCUAGUAAGCGCAAGUCAUCAGCUUGCGUUGAUUACGUCCCUGCCCUUUGUACACACCGCCCGUCACUACUACCG
rnacentral:rRNA from 1 species